UACGGGGGGGGCAAGCGUUGUUCGGAAUUACUGGGCGUAAAGGGCUCGUAGGCGGCCAACUAAGUCAGACGUGAAAUCCCCCGGCUUAACCAGGGAACUGCGCCUGAUACUGGAUGGCUUGAGUUUGGGAGAGGGAUGCGGAAUUCCAGGUGUAGCGGUGAAAUGCGUAGAUAUCUGGAGGAACACCGGUGGCGAAGGCGACAUCCUGGACCAACACUGACGCUGAGUGAGCGAAAGCCAGGGGAGCAAACGGG
rnacentral:rRNA from 1 species